rnacentral:rRNA from 1 species
CAGUCGCCGCGGUAAUACGGAGGGGGCUAGCGUUGUUCGGAAUUACUGGGCGUAAAGCGCACGUAGGCGGCUUGGUAAGUUAGAGGUGAAAGCCUGGAGCUCAACUCCAGAAUUGCCUUUAAGACUGCCGAGCUAGCAGGUGAGAGAGGUAAGUGGAAUUCCGAGUGUAGAGGUGAAAUUCGUAGAUAUUCGGUAGAACACCAGUGGCGAAGGCGGCUUACUGGCUCAUACUGGACGCUGAGGUGCGAAAGCGUGGGGAGCAAACAGGAUUAGAUACCCCAGUAGUCCCUGUCUCUUAUAC